CAUAAACAUCUCCGUCGAGUUAGCCAUUUUGUCCUUCUAGGGCUAAGAAUUUUGAAGGUAAGACUACUACCAUGUUAACAUCUAUCUUAUUUGGUAUUGAUGGUCCUUCUCCCUCAGCCUCAUUUUCUUCGGCGAGGUCUUCCUCUGGCUCGGGCCCCACAAAGUCCUCGUCACCCAAUUCUCCAUAUGCCAAUUCUUCGGUCAGAUCCUCCUCGGUGGCACCAACCAUCAUGGCCGAAUCCUUUUUGGCCAAACAUUUCCCAUUUUGGUGGGAUCGGAGUUGGCCAAGAGACUGGUGUGUUUGUUUGUGAGCGUGCUACUAUUGGCAGUGAAAACGCACUCCAACAGACUGAGAUUGUAUAAUGUGUAACUGGAAAAUGAAGUUGUAGAGAAAGAGUAAUAGGGUUUACCCCACUGGGACAAGUCACAAAUCAAUAAUCUAGGCUGAAACCCAUGCCUUUUGUGGUA